rnacentral:rRNA from 1 species
UAAGAGGUCCAGCCUGCCCAGUGACAAAUGUUCAACGGCCGCGGUAUCCUAACCGUGCGAAGGUAGCGUAAUCACUUGUUCUUUAAAUGAGGACUAGUAUGAAUGGCACCACGAGGGUUGCACUGUCUCCUUCCCCUAAUCAAUGAAACUAAUCUUCCCGUGAAGAAGCGGGAGUUUAUCUAUAAGACGAGAAGACCCUAUGGAGCUUUAAAUUUCUCUUCAAACGCCAGACAUAAACCCUAAACAUCUUACACCAACCCGGCGCCAUGAAGAUGAAUUUUAGGUUGGGGUGACCACGGAGAACAAAACAACCUCCACGCUGAAUAGGCCUAAAACCUUGAACUAAGGACCACAGCCCGACGAACUAAAAAAUUAAUACCCAUUGACCCA